GAUUAAAUAUCGAUUUUCCUAACCAUGUUUUCCUGGACCUACCAUCCCCAGUACUAACUACCCUUUCACAAGGCCGACAACGUCACCACAUGUGGAGGAAAAUCGAUAUUUAAUCGAAUUUUCAUGGAAGGGUAUUACCUGCUGCGACCGAGAUUUGAACCCGGACCUCCCGGUUACAAGCGAAUGAACUAACCGCUCGGCCACGGUCGCGGCUUCAGAAUAUUUUAAACCAAUGCGUUGAAUACAUUUGGUGGAAUAAGCAAAUUUCACGAUUUAUUGAGACAACCUUCGUAUUAAAAGUGUUUUUAUUCACCUAAUGUGAGAUUAAAAUGUACACCCUAUUGGACAUCUAUCGCUUGUCACUUACGUCUAGUUAUGAUGUCAUUUUCGGUAGGAAAUUCAAGUGCGAGACGGACAGUCUGUGGUUUUGCGUUGACGUGUUUCAGAAUGGCACGACUUACCGCUAUAGAUAGGCGUUACAUACGUGUAAACAUUCACAUUUACUGUCAAUGAAUGACAGUCAUAUGACUACAGUAAAAUCUCACUGCUAGACCAUCUUUAUAAUAAGACCACCUCGAUAGUAAGACCGCGAUUAAUGGUUUAAUACGUGUCGGUUUGCUCUUGAUUUAACCUCAAUAUUAAGUCCAACUCAAUACUAAGACCAGUCUUUAAGGGUCCCCAUGGUGGUCGUAUUCGGGAGGUUUUACUGAAGCCCGGCACAUGUGUUCCGGCUUAUGAUGGUCAGAUAUGUUUGCAGUUAGAAGAAGUUUUCUAAUCAAGCGGGAAAAUGUUGAGACUUAGCAAUUUAUUGAUUAAGCAACCUCGCAAAGU
rnacentral:misc_RNA from 1 species